UACAGAGGGUGCAAGCGUUGCUCGGAAUUAUUGGGCGUAAAGGGUAGGUAGGUGGUCUCAUUUGUCCGGGGUGAAAGCCUUGAGCUUAACUCAAGAAGUGCCCCGGAAACGGUGAGACUGGAGUCUUGGAGAGGGUCGUGGAAUUCCCGGUGUAGCGGUGAAAUGUGUAGAGAUCAGGAGGAACACCGAUGGCGAAGGCAGGUCUCUGGGCUGACACUGACGCUCAUGCACGAAAGCGUGGGGAGCGAACGGG
rnacentral:rRNA from 1 species